rnacentral:rRNA from 1 species
GUGGGGAAUCUUGCGCAAUGGGCGAAAGCCUGACGCAGCCAUGCCGCGUGAAUGAUGAAGGUCUUAGGAUUGUAAAAUUCUUUCACCGGGGACGAUAAUGACGGUACCCGGAGAAGAAGCCCCGGCUAACUUCGUGCCAGCAGCCGCGGUAAUACGAAGGGGGCUAGCGUUGCUCGGAAUUACUGGGCGUAAAGGGCGCGUAGGCGGACAGUUUAGUCAGAGGUGAAAGCCCAGGGCUCAACCUUGGAAUUGCCUUUGAUACUGGCUGUCUUGAGUUUGGGAGAGGUGAGUGGAACUCCGAGUGUAGAGGUGAAAUUCGUAGAUAUUCGGAAGAACACCAGUGGCGAAGGCGACUCACUGGCCCAAUACUGACGCUGAGGCGCGAAAGCGCGGGGAGCAAACAGGAUUAGAAACCCCUGUAGUCC